GAUGAACGCUGGCGGCGUGCCUAAUACAUGCAAGUCGAGCGAACAGACGAGGAGCUUGCUCCUCUGACGUUAGCGGCGGACGGGUGAGUAACACGUGGAUAACCUACCUAUAAGACUGGGAUAACUUCGGGAAACCGGAGCUAAUACCGGAUAAUAUAUUGAACCGCAUGGUUCAAUAGUGAAAGACGGUUUUGCUGUCACUUAUAGAUGGAUCCGCGCCGCAUUAGCUAGUUGGUAAGGUAACGGCUUACCAAGGCGACGAUGCGUAGCCGACCUGAGAGGGUGAUCGGCCACACUGGAACUGAGACACGGUCCAGACUCCUACGGGAGGCAGCAGUAGGGAAUCUUCCGCAAUGGGCGAAAGCCUGACGGAGCAACGCCGCGUGAGUGAUGAAGGUCUUCGGAUCGUAAAACUCUGUUAUUAGGGAAGAACAAAUGUGUAAGUAACUAUGCACGUCUUGACGGUACCUAAUCAGAAAGCGACGGCUAACUACGUG
rnacentral:rRNA from 1 species